UACGAAGGGGGCUAGCGUUGCUCGGAAUCACUGGGCGUAAAGGGUGCGUAGGCGGGUCUUUUAAGUCAGGGGUGAAAUCCUGGAGCUCAACUCCAGAACUGCCUUUGAUACUGAGGAUCUUGAGUUCGGGAGAGGUGAGUGGAACUGCGAGUGUAGAGGUGAAAUUCGUAGAUAUUCGGAAGAACACCAGUGGCGAAGGCGGCUCACUGGCCCGUUACCGACGCUCAGGCGCGACAGCGUGGGGAGCAAACAGG
rnacentral:rRNA from 1 species